rnacentral:rRNA from 1 species
UAGCGACAGGCCUAACACAUGCAAGUCGAGGGCGAGCACAAGGAGCAAUCUGAGGUGGCGACCGGCGCACGGGUGAGUAACACGUAUGCAACCUGCCUGUAAGCGGGGAAUAACCCGUUGAAAGACGGACUAAUACCGCAUAAUACUAAAUUACUGCAUGGUAAUUUAUUUAAACAUUUAUGGCUUACAGAUGGGCAUGCGCAUGAUUAGCUAGUUGGAGAGGUAACGGCUCCCCAAGGCAACGAUCAUUAGGGGUUCUGAGAGGAAGGUCCCCCACACUGGUACUGAGACACGGACCAGACUCCUACGGGAGGCAGCAGUGAGGAAUAUUGGUCAAUGGACGAGAGUCUGAACCAGCCAAGUCGCGUGCAGGAAGAAUGUCCCUAUGGAUUGUAAACUGCUUUUGCAGGGGAAUAAAGUGCAUCACGUGUGAUGUUUUGUAUGUACUCUGCGAAUAAGGAUCGGCUAACUCCGUGCCAGCCGCCGC